GUUAGGAAUAUUGGACAAUGGGCGCAAGCCUGAUCCAGCCAUGCCGCGUGAGUGAUGAAGGCCUUCGGGUUGUAAAGCUCUUUAGCCGAUGAUUAUAAUGACUGUAGUCGGAAAAUAAGCCCCGGCUAACUUCGUGCCAGCAGCCGCGGUAAUACGAAGGGGGCGAGCGUUAUUCGGAAUCACUGGGCGUAAAGCGUGCGUAGGCGGCUUUGCAAGUUGGGAGUGAAAGCCCAGGGCUCAACCCUGGAAUUGCUCUCAAAACUGCAAGGCUCGAAUUCGGGAGAGGAUAGCGGAAUUGUCAGUGUAGCAGUGAAAUGCGUAGAUAUUGACAGGAACACCAGUGGCGUAAGCGGCUAUCUGGACCGAUAUUGACGCUGAGGCACGAAAGCGUGGGGAUCAAACAGGAUUAGAAACCCCAGUAGUCC
rnacentral:rRNA from 1 species